rnacentral:rRNA from 1 species
AAACUGAAGAGUUUGAUCAUGGCUCAGAUUGAACGCUGGCGGCAGGCUUAACACAUGCAAGUCGAGCGGAAACGAUGGUAGCUUGCUAUCAGGCGUCGAGCGGCGGACGGGUGAGUAACGCGUGGGAAUUUGCCUAGUAGUGGGGGAUAGCCCAGAGAAAUUU